AUUGAACGCUGGCGGCAUGCGUAACACAUGCAAGUCGAACGGUGUUUGGUGCUUGCACCAGACAUAGUGGCGGACGGGUGAGUAAUGCGUAGGAAUCUGUCUUAGAGAGGGGGACAACCCGAGGAAACUUGGGCUAAAACCGCAUAUUCUCGAGAGAGGAAAGCAGGGGACCGGAAACGGCCUUGUGCUCUAAGGUGAGCCUACGUCGGAUUAGCUAGUUGGUAGGGUAAAAGCCUACCAAGGCGAUGAUCUGUAGCUGGUCUGAGAGGACGGACAGCCACACUGGGACUGAGACACGGCCCAGACUCCUACGGGAGGCAGCAGUGGGGAAUAUUGGACAAUGGGGGAACCCUGAUCCAGCGAUGCCGCGUGUGUGAAGAAGGCCUGCGGGUUGUAAAGCACUUUCAGUGGGAAAGAGAAGCGUCUUGUGAAUAAUGGGACGUGGAGACGUUACUCACAGAAGAAGCACCGGCUAACUCUGUGCCAGCAGCCG
rnacentral:rRNA from 1 species